GGGGCCGUUUGAGGGGCUGUUCUGCCCCUGCUUUGCAAGCAGGGGGUCAGGGGUUCGAUUCCCCUCCGCUCCA
rnacentral:tRNA from 2 species